rnacentral:SRP_RNA from 1 species
GCCGGGCGUGGUGGUGCAUGCCUGUAGUCCCAGCUACUCGGGAGGCUGAGGCAUGAGAAUUGCUUGAACCCAGGAGGCAGAGGUUGCAGUGAGCCAAGAUUAUGCCACUGCACUCCUGCCUGGGUGACAGAGUGAGACUCUGUCUCAA